rnacentral:rRNA from 2 species
UACGAAGGGUGCAAGCGUUAAUCGGAAUUACUGGGCGUAAAGCGCGCGUAGGUGGUUCAGCAAGUUGGAUGUGAAAGCCCCGGGCUCAACCUGGGAAUUGCAUCCAAAACUACUGAGCUAGAGUACGGUAGAGGGUGGUGGAAUUUCCUGUGUAGCGGUGAAAUGCGUAGAUAUAGGAAGGAACACCAGUGGCGAAGGCGACCACCUGGACUGAUACUGACACUGAGGUGCGAAAGCGUGGGGAGCAAACAGG